rnacentral:rRNA from 1 species
UAAGACGAAGGGGGCUAGCGUCGUUCGGAAUUACUGGGCGUAAAGGGCGCGUAGGCGGUCCAUUAAGUCAGGCGUGAAAGCCCUGGGCUCAACCUGGGAGUGGCGCUUGAUACUGGCGGACUAGAGAGUGGGAGAGGUUGGUGGAAUUCCCAGUGUAGAGGUGAAAUUCGUAGAUAUUGGGAAGAACACCGGUGGCGAAGGCGGCCAACUGGACCAUUUCUGACGCUGAGACGCGAAAGCGUGGGGAGCAAACAGGA